rnacentral:rRNA from 1 species
GACGAACGCUGGCGGCAGGCUUAACACAUGCAAGUCGAGCGAGCGGCGGACGGGUGAGUAAUGUCUGGGACACUGCCUGAUGGAGGGGGAUAACUACUGGAAACGGUAGCUAAUACCGCAUACCAUCAGAUGUGCCCAGGUGGGAGUAGCUAGUAGGUGGGGUAAUGGCUCACCUGGGCGACGAUCCCUAGCUGGUCUGAGAGGAUGAAAGGGCACACUGGAACUGAGACACGGUGCAGACUCCUACGGUAGGCAGCAGGGGGGAAUAUUGCAAAAUGGGCGCAAGCCUGAUGCAGCCAUGCAGCGUGUGUGAAGAAGGCCUUCGGGUUGUAAAGCACUUUCAGCGAGGAGGCGUUACUCGCAGAAGAAGCACCGGCUAACUCCGUGCCAGCAGCCGCGGUAAUAC